rnacentral:rRNA from 1 species
AACGAACGCUUGCGGCGCGCCUAAUACAUGCAAGUCGAGCGAGAAAGUUCUUCGGAAUGAGUACAGCGGCGGACGGGUGAGGAAUACGUAGAUAAUCUGCCUUAAAGAGGGGAAUAACUACUCGAAAGAGUAGCUAAUACCGCAUAAGACCACAGGGGCUUCGGCUCUAGGGGUAAAAGGUUUUGAUCGCUUUAAGAUGAGUCUGCGCCCGAUUAGCUAGUUGGUGAGGUAAUGGCUCACCAAGGCUACGAUCGGUAACUGGUCUGAGAGGAUGGCCAGUCACACUGGAACUGAGACACGGUCCAGACUCCUACGGGAGGCAGCAGUAGGGAAUAUUGCACAAUGGGCGAAAGCCUGAUGCAGCGACGCCGCGUGAGUGAUGAAGGCCUUCGGGUUGUAAAACUCUGUGAUAUGGGAAGAUGAUGACGGUACCAUAUCAGAAAGGACCGGCUAACUUCGUGCCAGCAGCCGCUGUAA